UACGAAGGGGGCGAGCGUUGUUCGGAAUUACUGGGCGUAAAGGGCGCGUAGGCGGCCGAGCAAGUUAGAUGUGAAAGUCCUGGGCUUAACCUGGGGACUGCAUUUGAUACUGCUUGGCUUGAAUUCGGGAGAGGAUAGCGGAAUUCCCAGUGUAGAGGUGAAAUUCGUAGAUAUUGGGAAGAACACCGGUGGCGAAGGCAGCCUCCUGGGCCAGCACUGACGCUCAUGCACGAAAGCGUGGGGAGCAAACAGG
rnacentral:rRNA from 1 species